CCGGUUUGAAUACAUGUGUUUUCUGACUUUUCGGAUAUCCAGCCAACUCUUGUUUUUUGGAACUUACGACUUAUGGCAAGAGAGAAGAAAACUGUGUGACUUUAAAAGAAAACCAGUGAGAUAAAAUCAUAGAAAAUGUAUGAUGAUUCAGGAUGUGGUCAUUUGGUCCUGUUCUGUGGAUGCCCUAAGACAGUGUCUACCCAUCACUCCAUCUGAAAUCACUUGUUCUGUGCAUAUUUCUCUCUCAAACUUAAACUACAGAGAGCCUGUGGAUA